rnacentral:rRNA from 1 species
AUUGAACGCUGAUGGCAUGCUUAACACAUGCAAGUCGGACGGCAGCGAGUCUGUAGCAAUACAGAUGUCGGCGAGUGGCGGACGGGUGAGUAACGCGUAGGGACCUACCGAAUAGAGGGGGACAACCCAGGGAAACUUGGGCUAAUACCGCAUAAUACCUUCGGGUUAAAGGAGGCGAAAGCUUUCGCUAUUUGAUGGACCUGCGUUGGAUUAGCUAGUUGGUUAGGUAAAGGCUGACCAAGGCGACGAUCCAUAACUGUUCUGAGAGGAAGAUCAGUCACACUGGAACUGAGACACGGUCCAGACUCCUACGGGAGGCAGCAGUGGGGAAUAUUGGACAAUGGGGGCGAACCCUGAUCCAGCAAUGCCAUGUGUGUGAAGAAGGCCUUAGGGUUGUAAAGCACUUUAGUUGGGGAGGAAGUGUAUAGGGCGAAGUAACUCUGUAUGUUGACGUUACCCAAAGAAUAAGCACCGGCUAACUCUGUGCCAGCAGCCGCGGUAA